rnacentral:tRNA from 1 species
GGGGAUAUAGCUCAGUGGUAGAGCACAUGCGUUCAGUGCACGAGGUCCUGGGUUCAAUCCCCAGUACCUUCA